rnacentral:rRNA from 1 species
ACUCCUACGUGAGGCAGCAUGAGGGAAAUAAUUUGGGACAAUGGGCGGGGAGCCUGAUCCAGCCAUGCCGCGUGCAGGGAAGACUGCCCUAUGGGUUGUAAAACUGCUUUUGUACAGGAAGAAAACACUCCCUCGUGAUGGGANCUUGACGGUACUGUAAGAAUAAGGAUCGGCUAACUCCGUGCCAGCAGCCGCGGUAAUACGGAGGAUCCAAGCGUUAUCCGGAAUCAUUGGGUUUAAAGGGUCCGUAGGUGGAUGAUUAAGUCAGAGGUGAAAAUCCCUGACUCAACUGUAGAAUUGCCUUUGAUACUGGUUGUCUUGAAUUAUUGUGAAGUAUUAGAAUAUGUGGUGUAGCGGUGAAAUGCAUAGAUAUCACAUAGAAUACCGAUUGCGAAGGCAGAUUACUAACAAUACAUUGACACUGAUGGACGAAAGCGUGGGGAGCGAACAGGAUUAGAUACCCUGGUAGGAUAGCGU